CCUAUGGAGAGUACAAGAACUUGUGAGUAGUAUCUGAACUAAUUCAGUAUGAAAACAUACUCAAUGAAAUAGGAA
rnacentral:ncRNA from 1 species